GCCUCCAAGAUGAUGUGU
rnacentral:rRNA from 1 species